rnacentral:rRNA from 1 species
GACGAACGCUGGCGGCGUGCUUAACACAUGCAAGUCGAGCGGAAAGGCCCUUUCGGGGGUACUCGAGCGGCGAACGGGUGAGUAACACGUGAGUAAUCUGCCUCUGGCUUCGGGAUAGCCACCGGAAACGGUGAUUAAUACCGGAUACGACACAUCACUGCAUGGUGCGUGUGUGGAAAGUUUUUUCGGCCAGGGAUGUGCUCGCGGCCUAUCAGCUUGUUGGUGGGGUAAUGGCCUACCAAGGCUUCGACGGGUAGCCGGCCUGAGAGGGUGACCGGCCACACUGGGACUGAGACACGGCCCAGACUCCUACGGGAGGCAGCAGUGGGGAAUAUUGGACAAUGGGCGGAAGCCUGAUCCAGCAACGCCGCGUGAGGGAUGACGGCCUUCGGGUUGUAAACCUCUUUCAGCACAGACGAAGCGCAAGUGACGGUAUGUGCAGAAGAAGGACCGGCCAACUACGUGCCAGCAGCCGCCGUAAUAC